rnacentral:rRNA from 1 species
UGCGUAGGCGGGCUAAUAAGUCAGUGGUGAAAUCUUCCGGCUCAACCGGGAACCUGCCAUUGAUACUGUUAGUCUUGAGUUCGGCUGAGGUAGGCGGAAUGUGUAAUGUAGCGGUGAAAUGCUUAGAUAUUACACAGAACACCAAUUGCGUAGGCAGCUUACUAGACCGACACUGACGCUGAGGCACGAAAGCGUGGGGAGCUAACAGGAUUAGAUACCCUGGUAGUCC